rnacentral:miRNA from 10 species
CCGCAGGGCGCCGGGCGGUCCGGGACCCGGACCCCGAGGCCCUGGACCCCGAGGCCCUGGAGGUGGAGGUCCAGUUCCAGCCGGACCCCACAGACCUGGUCCUGUCCAGCGUGCCGGGGGGGGCGCUCUUCAACCCCCGC